UAAGUUAGAAAGGGCGCACGGUGGAUGCCUUGACACUAGGAGUCGAUGAAGGACGGGACUAACGCCGAUAUGCUUCGGGGAGCUGUAAGUAAGCUUUGAUCCGAAGAUUUCCGAAUGGGGAAACCCACCAUACGUAAUGGUAUGGUAUCCUUAUCUGAAUACAUAGGGUAAGGAAGACAGACCCAGGGAACUGAAACAUCUAAGUACCUGGAGGAAGAGAAAGCAAAUGCGAUUUCCUGAGUAGCGGCGAGCGAAACGGAACAUAGCCCAAACCAAGAGGCUUGCCUCUUGGGGUUGUAGGACAUUCUAUACGGAGUUACAAAGGAACGAGGUAGACGAAGCGACCUGGAAAGGUCCGUCGUAGAGGGUAACAACCCCGUAGUCGAAACUUCGUUCUCUCUUGAAUGUAUCCUGAGUACGGCGGAACACGUGAAAUUCCGUCGGAAUCUGGGAGGACCAUCUCCCAAGGCUAAAUACUCCCUAGUGAUCGAUAGUGAACCAGUACCGUGAGGGAAAGGUGAAAAGCACCCCGGAAGGGGAGUGAAAGAGAUCCUGAAACCGUGUGCCUACAAAUAGUCAGAGCCCGUUAACGGGUGAUGGCGUGCCUUUUGUAGAAUGAACUGGCGAGUUACGAUCCCGUGCGAGGUUAAGCUGAAGAGGCGGAGCCGCAGCGAAAGCGAGUCUGAAUAGGGCGUUUAGUACGUGGUCGUAGACCCGAAACCAGGUGAUCUACCCAUGUCCAGGGUGAAGUUCAGGUAACACUGAAUGGAGGCCCGAACCCACGCACGUUGAAAAGUGCGGGGAUGAGGUGUGGGUAGCGGAGAAAUUCCAAUCGAACCUGGAGAUAGCUGGUUCUCCCCGAAAUAGCUUUAGGGCUAGCCUUAAGUGUAAGAGUCUUGGAGGUAGAGCACUGAUUGGACUAGGGGUCCUCAUCGGAUUACCGAAUUCAGUCAAACUCCGAAUGCCAAUGACUUAUCCUUAGGAGUCAGACUGCGAGUGAUAAGAUCCGUAGUCAAAAGGGAAACAGCCCAGACCGCCAGCUAAGGUCCCAAAGUGUGUAUUAAGUGGAAAAGGAUGUGGAGUUGCUUAGACAACUAGGAUGUUGGCUUAGAAGCAGCCACCAUUUAAAGAGUGCGUAAUAGCUCACUAGUCGAGUGACUCUGCGCCGAAAAUGUACCGGGGCUAAAUACACCACCGAAGCUGCGGAUUGAUACCAAUGGUAUCAGUGGUAGGGGAGCGUUCUAAGGACAGUGAAGUCAGACCGGAAGGACUGGUGGAGUGCUUAGAAGUGAGAAUGCCGGUAUGAGUAGCGAAAGACGGGUGAGAAUCCCGUCCACCGAAUGCCUAAGGUUUCCUGAGGAAGGCUCGUCCGCUCAGGGUUAGUCAGGACCUAAGCCGAGGCCGACAGGCGUAGGCGAUGGACAACAGGUUUGAUAUUCCUGUACCACCUCUUUAUCGUUUGAGCAAUGGAGGGACGCAGAAGGAUAGAAGAAGCGUGCGAUUGGUUGUGCACGUCCAAGCAGUUAGGCUGAUAAGUAGGCAAAUCCGCUUAUCGUGAAGGCUGAGCUGUGAUGGGGAAGCUCCUUAUGGAGCGAAGUCUUUGAUUCCCCGCUGCCAAGAAAAGCUUCUAGCGAGAUAAAAGGUGCCUGUACCGCAAACCGACACAGGUAGGCGAGGAGAGAAUCCUAAGGUGUGCGAGAGAACUCUGGUUAAGGAACUCGGCAAAAUGACCCCGUAACUUCGGGAGAAGGGGUGCUUUCUUAACGGAAAGCCGCAGUGAAUAGGCCCAAGCGACUGUUUAGCAAAAACACAGCUCUCUGCGAAGCCGUAAGGCGAAGUAUAGGGGGUGACACCUGCCCGGUGCUGGAAGGUUAAGGAGAGGGGUUAGCGUAAGCGAAGCUCUGAACUGAAGCCCCAGUAAACGGCGGCCGUAACUAUAACGGUCCUAAGGUAGCGAAAUUCCUUGUCGGGUAAGUUCCGACCCGCACGAAAGGUGUAACGAUUUGGGCACUGUCUCAACCAGAGACUCGGUGAAAUUAUAGUACCUGUGAAGAUGCAGGUUACCCGCGACAGGACGGAAAGACCCCGUGGAGCUUUACUGUAGCCUGAUAUUGAAUUUUGGUACAGUUUGUACAGGAUAGGCGGGAGCCUUUGAAACCGGAGCGCUAGCUUCGGUGGAGGCGCUGGUGGGAUACCGCCCUGACUGUAUUGAAAUUCUAACCUACGGGUCUUAUCGACCCGGGAGACAGUGUCAGGUGGGCAGUUUGACUGGGGCGGUCGCCUCCUAAAGUGUAACGGAGGCGCCCAAAGGUUCCCUCAGAAUGGUUGGAAAUCAUUCGUAGAGUGCAAAGGCAUAAGGGAGCUUGACUGCGAGACCUACAAGUCGAGCAGGGACGAAAGUCGGGCUUAGUGAUCCGGUGGUUCCGCAUGGAAGGGCCAUCGCUCAACGGAUAAAAGCUACCCCGGGGAUAACAGGCUUAUCUCCCCCAAGAGUCCACAUCGACGGGGAGGUUUGGCACCUCGAUGUCGGCUCAUCGCAUCCUGGGGCUGUAGUCGGUCCCAAGGGUUGGGCUGUUCGCCCAUUAAAGCGGUACGCGAGCUGGGUUCAGAACGUCGUGAGACAGUUCGGUCCCUAUCCGUCGUGGGCGUAGGAAAUUUGAGAGGAGCUGUCCUUAGUACGAGAGGACCGGGAUGGACGCACCGCUGGUGUACCAGUUGUUCUGCCAAGGGCAUAGCUGGGUAGCUAUGUGCGGAAGGGAUAAGUGCUGAAAGCAUCUAAGCAUGAAGCCCCCCUCAAGAUGAGAUUUCCCAUAGCGUAAGCUAGUAAGAUCCCUGAAAGAUGAUCAGGUUGAUAGGUUCGAGGUGGAAGCAUGGUGACAUGUGGAGCUGACGAAUACUAAUAGAUCGAGGACUUAACCA
rnacentral:rRNA from 1 species